rnacentral:rRNA from 1 species
GGCUUAGAAGCAGCCACUCAUUUAAAGAGUGCGUAAUAGCUCACUGGUCGAGUGAUCCUGCGCCGAAAAUUUCCGGGGCUAAAACGUACUACCGAAGCUACGGCAUCAUUUAUGAUGGGUAGGGGAGCUUCGUAUGCAGGCUGAAGCAUGACCGUAAGGACAUGUGGACAGUAUACGAGUGAGAAUGUUGGCAUGAGUAGCGAGACGUGGGUGAGAAUCCCACGGGCCGUAAACCCAAGGUUUCCAGGGGAAGGUUCGUCCGCCCUGGGUUAGUCGGGACCUAAGCCGAGGCCGAAAGGCGUAGGUGAUGGACAACAGGUUGAUAUUCCUGUACCGCCAAUAAGCGUUUGAGAGAUGGAGUGACACAGUAGGAUAAGCUAACCGUACUGUUGGUUAUGUACGGCUAAGCAUUGAGGCAGUCUAAAUAGGCAAAUCCGUUUAGACAAUGCUAGGAUGUGAUGGGGAAGCCCUCCGGGGCGAAGUAGCUGAUUUCACACUGUCAAGAAAAGCUUCUAUCGAGUUUAAAGGCGCCCGUACCGUAAACCGACACAGGUGGGUGAGGAGAGUAUCCUAAGGCCAGCGAGAGAACUAUUGUUAAGGAACUCGGCAAAAUGACCCCGUAACUUAGGGAGAAGGGGUGCCUGUCUAUGACAGGCCGCAGAGAAUAGGCCCAAGCGACUGUUUACCAAAAACACAGGUUUCUGCUAAGUCGCAAGACGAUGUAUAGGAGCUGACGCCUGCCCGGUGCUGGAAGGUUAAGGGGAUCUGUUAGAGCAAUCGAAGCAGUGAACUUAAGCCCCAGUAAACGGCGGCCGUAACUAUAACGGUCCUAAGGUAGCGAAAUUCCUUGUCGGGUAAGUUCCGACCCGCACGAAAGGCGUAACGAUUUGGGCACUGUCUCAACAAUAGACUCGGUGAAAUUGUAAUCCCGGUGAAGAUGCCGGGUACCUGCGACAGGACGGAAAGACCCCAUGGAGCUUUACUGUAGCUUGACGUUGGGUCUUGGUACUACAUGUACAGGAUAGGUGGGAGACUAUGAAGCAUGGACGCCAGUCUGUGUGGAGUCAUCCUUGGGAUACCACCCUUGUAGUACUGGGAUCCUAACCAUAGGCCUUGAAUCAGGUCUUGGAACACCGUCAGGUGGGCAGUUUGACUGGGGCGGUCGCCUCCUAAAAAGUAACGGAGGCGCUCAAAGGUUUCCUCAGCACGGUCGGAAAUCGUGCGAAGAGUGUAAAGGCAAAAGGAAGCUUGAUUGCAAGACAUACAGGUCGAGCAAGGACGAAAGUCGGACUUAGUGAUCCGGUGGUUCCGCAUGGAAGGGCCAUCGCUCAACGGAUAAAAGCUACCCUGGGGAUAACAGGCUUAUCUCCCCCAAGAGUCCACAUCGACGGGGAGGUUUGGCACCUCGAUGUCGGCUCAUCACAUCCUGGGGCUGUAUUCGGUCCCAAGGGUUCGGCUGUUCGCCGAUUAAAGUGGUACGCGAGCUGGGUUCAGAACGUCGUGAGACAGUUCGGUCCCUAUCCGUCGCAGGCGUAGGAAAUUUGAGGAGACCUGUCCUUAGUACGAGAGGACCGGGAUGGACGUACCUCUGGUGUACCAGUUGUUCUGCCAAGGGCAUGGCUGGGUAGCUAUGUACGGAAUGGAUAAGCGCUGAAAGCAUCUAAGCGCGAAGCCAACUUCAAGAUAAGAUUUCCCACCGUAAGGGUAAGACCCCAGGAAGACUACCUGGUUGAUAGGUCGAAGGUGUAAGUGCAGUAAUGUAUUUAGCUUAUCGAUACUAAUAGGUCGAGGACUUGACCAA